GGAUUGUGGCUUAGUGGUAGAGUGCUUGCCUACCAUCCAUGAGGCACUGGAUUCAAUCCUCAGCACCA
rnacentral:tRNA from 1 species